AAUUAAAAAGGAAAUGGUGUUCUUCCUUAACCAAACCGCUUUAGCAAGCUGAUGACGCCUGAUUGAUA
rnacentral:ncRNA from 2 species